GCUGAAGUGAAAAAAAAGCGACGGCGCGGCAAAACCAGAGGAGGAGAAGCGGGAGGAGGUGGAUCUGGAGAUGUCGAGCCCGGGCAUCUCAUCUAAGCUUUCGUCGGCAUCCGCCAUGGCUGGAGAGGUCGACGGGGUGGGCAUUGUGGAGCAUGCAUCCGAGUUUUAUCUGCCGGACGACACCUACACCGGCUUGGAGUACCGCUCGAGGCACCGUUGCGCUGGACAUGGCCUAGUUCCGGCCCGUCGAGUCGCCUGGGGAGGGGGAAGCACCGGCUGACGGUUUUUAGGGUGCCCACUUGAUUUGCCAGAAGAGUGCCACUGGUUGGUUUGGGUUGAUCUGCCUCCCCCAACUCGUGUUGCACUUGCAUUUGAAGACAUGCAUGCUGAGAUUGAAUGGAUGUGGAUCAAAAGUCAUCAGUUGCAGAAGAGAAACCUGGAGCUGGCGAAGAAGAAGCGCACUUUGAAGAAGAAACUGAAAGAGCGAGAUGAAAUGUUGCGUGUGUGGACACUGUUGUUUGGUAUUACCCUAUUGUGUGUUGUUGUUGUGGCCAUCUCUGUGUCUUCACAGAUUUGAGCAAGUUAUUGGAUGAUGUAGUGCUGUUUAUGAUGGAUGAUGAACUAAAUGGUAAUGGAAGAUGCAGUUUGGAACU